rnacentral:sRNA from 1 species
AAAGAGUUGAAAACCUUUUAAGAAAAAAGAAAUGCUAAAUAUACAUGAAAAAGUGAAAAACAUGUUGGAUUUAUGGAAUCGCUAAUAAGCACGAUUAAAUGGCGGGACCCAAAAUCCGGUUAGAUUUCACAACGUCAUAUUAAUUUAGUAUUUAUAAAACCUUAAAAAAAAGAGUUGAAAAUCUUUUCAAAAUAAUAAUAAUAAUAAAUGCU